GUGGGGCUGGAGAGGGGAGGCAGUGAGGGGCUGGUACCCAGGGGGAUGCAGGGAGAGGGGCUGCAGGGCAGGAUUGGGGAGGGGGGAGCUGAAUUCCAGGGGAAUUCCAGCUGAAAUGCUGCUUGGAGCCUCCCCUGGCAGCCCCCAGGGCUGGGUGGUGCCCCCCUGCACCCUCCCUGCCACAGGAUGCUCCAGCUGCAGUGUUGCUUUUUUUAACCCCUGUCUCCACAGGAGGCUGAGCACAUCCCCCAGACUGCCUGGAAGCAGGAUGGGAGCUCAGGUGUCUGCUGAGAACUUGAAGAAAAGCUUAACCAGGACAAGAGGAUGGAUUUUGAAUGUGCAGUGGAAUAGUCUGAACUUCCCAGAUGACAGAGAUAAGCAGGGACACACUGGUCGAGCGAUGCCAUCAGGAGCAUCCCUGGUGGAGUCACCAUCCCUGGAAGUGUUCAAAAAGUGUGGAUGUGGCACCUGAGGACGUGGUUUAGAGGUGAACACAGUGGGGCUGUGAAUUUGAUGAUAUUUAAGGUCUUUUCCAGCCUUAACGGUUCUGUGAUCCCCUGAAACGUGUGGCACCUCCCUAAAUUCCUCCUCACCUUCUCCCAAUGCCUCUUCCUGUUGCAGGCAGCGGUGGAAGCACAGAGAAGGAAAACCCCAAAUUUCUGAAAUCAAGUGUAAAGGGUGAUUAGAAAUCCUUGAGUGCACGAAAGCUGGAGGGGAGUG
rnacentral:lncRNA from 13 species